rnacentral:snoRNA from 1 species
AAGUUCGACAAUGACGAUCUAAUCUAGAUGAAGACUUUGAGCCCAUUGUCUCGGCGCUCGUCUCAAGAGUUGAACCAGUGAACAUUGGAGAAGUAUAUGCACAGCUUCUCAAUUUUGAAA